rnacentral:lncRNA from 1 species
CGUGAUACCAUGGUGACCGGACUGAACAACUUACGUGCCUAUCUUCCCUGGCUGGUCACUUGCCGCUGUAGUGAGAGUGGGCUGGAUGACAUUU